UACGAAUAACAGAACUCAUGUUGAAAACAGUGACUACGAAUAACAAAACUCAUGUUGAAAACAGUAACGAUCCAAAGCUCAGUUUUCUUUCCAUUUUUGAAAAUCAAAAUCUUAACAGCAAGUUAACAUCACAAACAAACAGGCAACGGUGUUGCUAAAUCAAACAUGGAAUUCAAAGCAUAAUCGAAAUAUGGAAAUAAAGCUCGGAAAGGAAGCUAACCGGUUGCGGCGAGCUCGACCGACGAAUAAUCCUCUCUUCCCUAUAGGUGAACAGCGGCGGCUAUCCAAAACUUAGGGUUUUUUAUGAAUAGUGAUUGCUUUUUAUAUAUGACUCCUCCUCUCUGCUGUGCUGCUGUGUUUCCUCAGAGUAGUGGAGGUCUGCUGUGCAGUGGAGAGGUUUUGAAUUUUGUCCAUAUCCAACUUGUGGUCCCCUUCUCAAUUCUCUUCAUUUUGAAAACUCUACUCUUGACACGGUUUUGGUCUUGGCAUGUCUUCAAAUUUUGCAACCUUGAAUGUGCUACUUAUGUCAUCCGGCGUGAAGUGAAAUUCAUUGCCAUCUCUCAUUGAGUCCACUUCAAUUGGAAUUGCUGUCAUAGGAUGAUCUCUAGAGUGUGGUGGAGGAAGUCGGUCUGUAUCUAGUACUUCAAAGCAAGCCUCGCACAAAUCAAAAUCAGGAUAAAUAAUGCAAUGCCACCUUCGCCUGUGUCAGCUGAGCCAGGAACUGGAACUACACCCUCAACACCAUCAUCUGCAGCUAACAAUGUCUGUUUUGGAAAAGGGACAUGAAGCAAUCUCGAAGAUAUGGCCAAACUGCUAGCAGUCUGAACAGCUUCACCGGACGAAAAAAAGAAGCUUCUUGAGUAAUUCAACAGUAGGUGCUACACUGUGAACUCCUGAAUCUUUUCCAUGCAGAGCCAAGCAUUCAGCAUUUUAGUACUCAAAACCCUUAAUUCUCUGUAUAUCUCAGCAUAUUUUGGAUGAGUUUGGUUCCCAGUAUAAAAGACUUCAACUUUACUUCCAGCUACAACAGAGCUCCAACCAGGUGUUUUCCUCAAUCCUCGAUCUCUGGCCAAGGAUCUUACUUUAACUACUCCUUCCCAUUUUCCGGUAUUUGCAUAGAUGUUCAAUAACAAAACAUAAUAGCCAACGUUCUCCGAAUCAACUUCCAAUAAGCGUUCUGAAGCUAAUGUACCUAAUUUUGCAUUUCCAUGUAUUCUUCAAGCAGAGAGAAGAGCACCCCAGAUGGAUGCAUCUGGUUGUACAUGUAUACUUCUCACUAAAUCAUAAGCUUUUUUUUCAAAUAUCCAGCUCUGCCAAGCAAAUCAACCAUACAGCCAUAAUGUUUCAAACUAGGCUCGAUCCCAUACUCUUUCUGCAUAAUAUCAAAACAUUCUUGGCCCUCAUCAACUGAACCCGAAUGACUACAAGCCGACAACAAAGAUACAAAGGUAAUAUGAUCUGCCUCCACACCUUCAGCUAGCAUGUCUUUGAAAAGUUGCAGCAUUCCAAGGAACUGAAGUAGAGAGAGUUGCAGCUAGAAUAUCUUCUCCAUGGUCGUGAACCCCUAGAGAAGAUAUUACAGCAUUCCAAGGAACUGAAGUUUCCCGUGGAAUUUCAUAAAAUAAAGACAUUGCAUCUUCCAACUUCCCACAUUUUCCAUACAUGUCAAUCAGGCAGGUAGCCACAAAGACAUCCAAGUAGAGAGAGUUUUUUAUUAGCCUCCCAUGAAUUUUCGUUCCUUGUUGCAAAGCUCCAACAUGAGAAUAUGCUGGUAUAAUGCUCACCCAAGUCCCUUGGUGCAACAAUUUCCAUAUGCGGCUGAGGGAGCACAACUGCAUUAUUAUCAUUACUAUCAUAGAAGCUGAUUUCUGGCUGCAAAGAAUUUGGCACAGGCCUAGGAAGCAUCAUAUUACCAUUGUGACCGGGGAGGAAUUUUUCACUCUUAGGUUGUGAUGGAAGCAUCAGAUGAGAAACCGGCAUCGGGAGCAUACCAUUUUCUUGAUAGGAACUAACAUCAGAUAAUCUUUCAAAGUUGAUAGGUUCAAACAGAAAAUUCUUUCGCUGGCGAUAGACUUCUCUUAGUUUACUGUCUGGACACGCAUACGGCAUAGCAAAAUCCAAGCCACUGUCAACAUCAGAAGCAUACUCCCCUUCUGCAUCAAGUGAAGCCUUGAAGGUAGGAAUUUCAUUAUGUUUGCAAAAUAAUACAGCCUCAAAUUCAGCUACUGACAUAGUCCACAACACUAUUCCUGAACCAGGACCCACAGAUUGUAAAAAAGAUAAUCGGUCCUAACUAUCUGGAGCAGGAACUCCGGUAAAUUGAGCUUUCCUGGAUCAGCAAGCUCGUUAUUAUUCGCACCGACGACGGUACUAAAUCUCUCCCUGUCCUUGUCACCACUCCACACUGCAGUAGUAGAAGCAUUAUGAAAAUCAGCAGCACCAUAACUUCUAAGGAUCUUUCCAGCUUUGGCAUCGACUUCAAAUACAGUGCUUCUUUUGGAUCCAAGUAUAACAGCUCCAUCUUUAGACACAAUAGGUGUAACAGCAACAUAAUCAGCAACAGAUUCCUUAAGCCUCGUUUUGCCAAA